UACGAAGGGGACUAGCGUUGUUCGGAAUUACUGGGCGUAAAGCGCACGUAGGCGGCUUUGUUAGUCAGGGGUGAAAUCCCGGGGCUCAACCUCGGAACUGCCUUUGAUACUGCAAGUCUCGAGUCCGAUAGAGGUGGGUGGAAUUCCUAGUGUAGAGGUGAAAUUCGUAGAUAUUAGGAAGAACACCGGUGGCGAAGGCGGCCCACUGGAUCGGUACUGACGCUGAGGUGCGAAAGCGUGGGGAGCAAACAGG
rnacentral:rRNA from 1 species